AUGGCUAGAUCAGGCUUUCGCCCAUUGUCUAAGAUUCCCUACUGCUGCCUCCCGUAGGAGUCUGGGCCGUGUCUCAGUCCCAGUGUUGCUGAUCAUCCUCUCAAACCAGCUAUGGAUCGUAGGCUUGGUAGGCCAUUACCCCACCAACUACCUAAUCCAACGCGGGCUAAUCCAAAGGCGAUAAAUCUUUCCCCCGAAGGGCACAUACGGUAUUACUCUCCGUUUCCAGAGGCUGUUCCGUACCUUUGGGCAUAUUCCCACGCGUUACUAACCCGUCCGCCGCUCACCCGAAGGUGCGCUCGACUUGCAUGUAUUAGGCCUGCCGCCAGCGUUCGUUCUGAGCCAGGAUCAAACUCUAAUCGAAUUCCCGCGGCCG
rnacentral:rRNA from 1 species